rnacentral:rRNA from 1 species
UCGGCUAACUCCGUGCCAGCAGCCGCGGUAAUACGGAGGAUCCGAGCGUUAUCCGGAUUUAUUGGGUUUAAAGGGAGCGUAGAUGGAUGUUUAAGUCAGUUGUGAAAGUUUGCGGCUCAACCGUAAAAUUGCAGUUGAUACUGGAUAUCUUGAGUGCAGUUGAGGCAGGCGGAAUUCGUGGUGUAGCGGUGAAAUGCUUAGAUAUCACGAAGAACUCCGAUUGCGAAGGCAGCCUGCUAAGCUGCAACUGACAUUGAGGCUCGAAAAGUGUGGGUAUCAAACAGGAUUAGAUACCCUGGUAGUCCACACGGUAAACGAUGAAUACUCGCUGUUUGCGAUAUACUGCAAGCGGCCAAGCGAAAGCGUUAAGUAUUCCACCUGGGGAGUACGCCGGCAACGGUGAAACUCAAAGGAAUUGACGGGGGCCCGCACAAGCGGAGGAACAUGUGGUUUAAUUCGAUGAUACGCGAGGAACCUUACCCGGGCUUAAAUUGCAGAUGAAUUACGGUGAAAGCCGUAAGCCGCAAGGCAUCUGUGAAGGUGCUGCAUGGUUGUCGUCAGCUCGUGCCGUGAGGUGUCGGCUUAAGUGCCAUAACGAGCGCAACCCUUGUUGUCAGUUACUAACAGGUUCCGCUGAGGACUCUGACAAGACUGCCAUCGUAAGAUGUGAGGAAGGUGGGGAUGACGUCAAAUCAGCACGGCCCUUACGUCCGGGGCUACACACGUGUUACAAUGGGGGGUACAGAGGGCCGCUACCACGCGAGUGGAUGCCAAUCCCCAAAACCUCUCUCAGUUCGGACUGGAGUCUGCAACCCGACUCCACGAAGCUGGAUUCGCUAGUAAUCGCGCAUCAGCCACGGCGCGGUGAAUACGUUCCCGGGCCUUGUACACACCGCCCGUCAAGCCAUGGGAGCCGGGGGUACCUGAAGUGCGUAACAACGAGGAGCGCCCUAGGGUAAAACUGGUGACUGGGGCUAAGU